rnacentral:pre_miRNA from 1 species
CGUGCUGCGACAGGUGCUUCCGGCUGUGUUAAUAUUUGCGAGUCAGGUACCUGAAGUAGCGCGCG